rnacentral:Y_RNA from 2 species
GGCUGGCCUGAAUGCAGUGGUGUUUACAACUAACUGAUCACAGCCAGUACAGAGUUCUUUUUUUUUCUCCACUCCCACUGCUUCAUUUGAGUAGCCUUAA